UCAAGUCCGGCCUAUGAUGAGCUCAUCGAUCUGCAAGAUACAACGCCGGAAUUAUAAUAUUUGCAAGAUCUGUUCUCCGUACGGGCAGCCGCUUGUCGCACUCCUCGAGGGAUCGCCAUCAGCGAGAAAUCCAUAAGGCGAAGAGGAAAGCCAAAGGCCGCUCGGAAAUGGUCGGCGCGAUCGCUUUUCCAGCUCGCCCAUCUCCGGAUGCGGAACCAAAGCAGCCCCCUCUUCGGUCCUCUCAUCCGUGCCUUCCCGAGAUUCCCGUCAGCUUUCUCCGCAUUUCCUCAUCUCGAGCGCAGCCUCAAGAUCCCCAGAUCUUCAGGUUUGUAUGGUCGUUUAUGGUUGCUCCUCUUGUAGUCUUGUACGGCCUCCUUUUUAGUUUUAUUUAUGUGUACCCACCGGCUACUUGUGUAAUGCUUUAAAUAGAUUUUUCAGAAAUAGGAACAUAUUAUGUCAAAAAACUCGAGCUUUACAUUUGAGUUCAAUGAAGAAUAUACAGUGUUCAAAGGUCUUUGCAGCGACUUUGUGUUGACGUGUGAUUGGUUCCCUGAUCUGGUAAUCGUAUUAUUGUGGUUUGAAUGAAAUCCUGGCGAAGUGAUGAGAUUCGAGUACUUCUUGGAAAAGAAAAUGUAUGCCCGCAUCGAUACCCAGAAUUAGGCCUGAAAUGAGUCGACUGCUAUUGCUGCUUUUUAAUGUGCUUCCCAUUUCUCUUAAAAAAAUCUAUUCUUCUUUCCAUUUACUUUAGCCAUUCUUCCUGAUGCUAUUCUUGUGUUAGUUCUAAGAAGCUGGUUUUAUUAUUUUCCAAGCGUCAGCACAGAGAAAUAUAUUGAUUUUGUGUGAGCUAUUGCCCCCUUGCGGUUGUUCUUUUCCUUUCCUCUGUCGUGAAUAAUACUGUCUGAAGAUCAAAAGAGACUGCACAGGGGCAACAUGAUAAAUUAAAAAUUUGACAAAAGAACAUUCCGUAAUGACGAAAGAAUGAACUAGACUUGAAUUCUUUUUAAAGACAAAAGAACAUUCUGUAAUGACAAAUGAUCAUCAUUGCAAAUUUGAGAGUAGGUGGUAAAAUUUGAUGACCUUUUUAGCCACGCAAAACUGCAGAGGAGAACACAAUUCUCUUAAGUAUGUAGCAGAUAGUAGUAUCGAUUUAUUAUUAUCAUCAUCAUGAGCGAGAUUAUUAGGCAUCAUGCAUAUUAUGAUCCUGUCAAUUGUUUGUGUGUCAUAGAAAUCACAACAAAUAAUAUGCCUUCUUAAACUGAUUUUAGGAAAAAUGAAGCAAAACAAUAUAAAUUUCUUUGCUGCCGAUAAACCUGUGGACUUAUUAUAAAUCAUGUUUAAGAUUGUGCAUCUAUUGGAACAUUAAGCUUGAGUAUAAUAGGAACCAUAAAUUUUCAUUGCAUGUAUGUGUUGUGAGUAAAUGAGAGAGAGAAGAGAGAGAUUCUGUUUGCUUUUGCAACUGAAACAAGACUACAUUGACUAGAAUGAUUAAAAGAACAUGGGAGAAUGAUUUAGCAAGAGAUGAAUCUCAUUGUAGGUUCAAAAGAAGGUGGAGUAAGAGCGUAAUUGCUGAGUUCAACUCUACGUCAAUUUUCCAAGCUUAGAAUGCCAGUGGCACUUGGGCACCCCUCUCCUCGGCUUGUGCUCUAGAGGAAGGUUUCAUUUUUGGACCCUGAAGGCGGCAUUCCCACUGUAUCUCAAAAGAAGGGAAAAAAAAAUACAAGAAUGCUCAUUUGAUGUAUCUCUGGAUCAAAUCAAUCUUACAGUUUUGAACCUUCGAUGAUUCCUCACUAAAUCCUGACGUUUAGGUGAAUCUUUAAUAUGUGCUAACAACAGGACCAUUUCAAAAGGACCAGGAACUAGACUCAGACCACGCAAAAUAUAAGUAAAUUGUUACUGGCUAAGAUGAACUAAGUGGCAUUUGACAUUGAUCGAUGUUGAACAGCAAUUAUUCUGACUCUGGUGCAAUUUAAGAGAGAAUAAUCAGGCACAUAAAUUGUUGAGGACGAUGCUAAACUUCAAAGGAGAUUGUUAACACACUAGUUUUUAUAUUCACAGAUGCACCUACCUCAUACCCUCUGACAGCCAAUUCUAAUAGAUGCAUAACUAGAUUCCACAGGCUUUCCCCACCUCUUUUUUGUCUGUCAGUAGUCAUGAGGAAUGAUUAUUUUUUUGUUACUCUUUUAUUAAGAUGGCAGUCAUUUUUCCUUUUUAAUUAACUGAUAUGUCUGAAGUAUAUAACAUAGACAUUUUAUCCUGCCUGCAGUAUAUAAUUUAGAUAUAUUACCACAUCUACAAGUAUAUGGCUUAGAAAUUUUACCUUGCGCUCCUUUUUCCAUUGUUUUAAAUAGUUUUGCUAUAAUUUUGUUGUCAAAUUUCUCUUCCACUUUUGCCUUGUUUUCCUCCUUUUGAUGCAUUCUUCAUAGCUUUUAAGGCUGAAUUACUAAUUCAAUAGGCUGAGACUUUAAGGCUACUCAAUAAAGGUGGCUAAUUUCAGCUUGUAGUCUUCAAGACUUCUCACAUAUGAUUUGUUGAUCAAACAUAAUUGAUGUUAAAAUUUGAAUAUGACUGCAUAUAAAUUGCAGCAAUAGAAUAUACGAUACCUUAUGGGGUAUGAUGAGGUUGUAUUACAGUAAUAUGGUGUGGCAACACAUAAAGAUUGCUUGUAAAUGUGUAAGAACAAGGAUAUUUAGAUAGUAAUUUAAAUUCAUUUAGAACUUUCUAAAUUCUGUUUCUCUUCCUAGUAAUUUAAAUAAAAUUGUUAGCUACCUUUGAGCUUUUCUUGUCUAUUCCUUUGUUGCGUUUAGUGAGUCCUUAUUGCAAGACUACUCCUCUCCUUUAAGAAAGCAGCCCAUUUGUACCUCUUGAGAAACUUCAGUCACCAUAGGUGACUGGACCCUUGUUUUCUCGUUUUGUUUCUUCUUGUACUGGGAUUUGAAUCCAGUUAUUCAUAGAGGUAACACAUGUACGAUUCGGCAUGUUAAGUACCUAUGGAAGGACAACUGAGCUUAUUUAUGAACCUUGAAAGGAUAUUUCUUGGGCAUCUAUGACAUCAUAAGUUUGUUAAUGAGUAAGGGCAUAUUUAAUAUUGCUUUACCAGUGACUUCUUAUUCCUUUAUCAGUCUCAUAUCCCAUAUUCUUCAUAUCUCAUAACGACAAUCUCAUUCUUGAAUUUACAAAACUCAAUGUUGGGCGAUUUACUCCAAGAUCUCUGUAAUUAGCAAUAAGAUAUCACAAAAUGGCAGUGCAUUAUCCUCGCCUCAACAAAACUGCCAUUUACAUGGACAAAGGUUAGAAGAUGUCAAGACCAAGCUAUAGGUUUGUCUGAUUUAUUUGCUCAAGCAUUUUAAGAACUGCAGCCAUGGUUGGUCUCCUUGAAGGAUCUGAUUCUAGGCAAUUGCCUGCAAUAGCGAACAUUUUUCUGACUUUUUCAACAGGAACAGAUACUAGAGACCUGUCAAUUGCAUGUUCUUCUCUCUUUUCUUCGAUAACUUCUUUCACCUGUUUUACCAUGCAUUUUGUCAACAAUGAGAAUUCAUUAGAGACAUACUAAACAGCAACUUAAAGUAAUAGGAGAAAUGUAUCAGAAAGAUGUGAAUAUAAAAAUUUGGGGCACUGCAAAUGCAUAAGUUGCCAUCUUGAAAGCUACGCAUUUCAGGGUCUUGAGUAAUCCAGGUUGCAACGAGAUUAAUUUCUCAUUGCUAAGCUUAAAUAAGCAGGAAUCUUGACAGAAUGUCAAUUGUCCAGGUGUCCAAAAGAAUGACGUGCAAACCUUCAUGACCUUGGACGUGGAUAUAGUGGUGUUAUAUAUGUCUUUUUAAAUAUGCAGUAUGUGAUGAAUAAUAAGUUAGACUAAUUGCUCCAUACCAUGGUUAAAGUGAUUUACCUUCGCUAAUUGUUAUAUCAGUUUUUUUUUUUUUUUUGAUGAAAGCUAAUUGUUAUAUUUACACCUGACAACUUUUAUAUAGAAAUGCAGAAAGUUGACAUUCUACAGUUAAGACAUCAUGCUUUGUUGAUUUAAAGUAUCCACUGUCCACAUGUCCAGCGCAUCAAGAAACUCAAACUUGAAGUGUUUAGGUCAUAAUGCCUUGAAGCCAAACUUUUAGCUUUUGCUAGAUAUGAUAUCCAACAAGGUAGGUUAUAAUAUUGCUAAAAAUAUCUGAACCUUGUAAGAAGUUAUGGUAGAUGGCUUUAUCUUUUUUGAUCCAUAAUAUUGAGUAUAUUGAAUAUUUAAGAAACACUAAGUAUUCUUUUACAGCUUCAAUAAGUUUGAUAAUAUAUAAUGUGAGGACCCGUGCGGGCAUAUGUUUAGUCCCACAUCGGUUCUUCACUGGGUAGAUCUUGGGUACUUAUACAGGAUCAAGGUACCCAAAUAAUACCUUCCGGCUAGCCAUUUUGGGUGAGGUCCUGGGUUGUUACAAAUGGUAUCAGAGCGGAUCCAGCCCAUAACUUAUGUGGACUAGGGGACACUGCAGCACAGAUUCAUUGGGGCUGACCACGGACCGAUCGUGGUGUUUGUGAUUAGAUUUGAAUGGAUUUAAACCCUUAGCCUGAUGAGGACGUCAGGGCUUGAACGGAAGGGAGCAUGUGAGGACCCAUGCGGGCAUGUGUUUANNNNNNNNNNNNNNNNNNNNNNNNNNNNNNNNNNNNNNNNNNNNNNNNNNNUUGUUACAAAUAGUAUGCGGGGGUGUGACAUUUGGUAUCAGAGCUGAGGACGGCUCUUGUCCGAUGGUGGGAAGGGUGUGAGGCCCAAUAGUCCCACAUCGGAAAGACUCGUUCCGUAGCCUGGGCAUAUGAGGCGGGUGUCUCCUAAUUCUGCAGACGCGUUUUGGGUAGAAAACAAAACCGGAGAGGGGUGAAGGACGCUUGCGUGAAGCCCCAGAAUUGGACAAUAUCUGGCAGGGGAGCCCCAUGUUCCCCCCUCAUGUGACUCCCACGUGGGCACUAGGUGCUUCACGUGCCUCGCAGAGGCGGAGGCGUGACAUAUAAAGUUUUGAAAACAGGAAUACUCAUGCAACCAUGUCAAGUCAAGCAGUGUUAAUUGAUAGACCCAACAAUAAAAGCAUGUGCUUGACUUGAAUAUAUAUCUGAAGGCUCAGCAAGGAGGAGGCCUAUGAUGACUUGAAUAGAAGGUUUGAUUUAAUAUUUGAGAAAAAGUAACUUUGGUAUACCAUGUAGGCUGUAGCCCUUAAAGUUGAGAAAAGGAUUAUUAAAUCUGGUCUUAGAUGGGUAUAGGAUGAAAUUCCACAAUUCUUGUUGCCGGUAAUAUACUCAGCUUGUUUAAUUUCAUCCAGAAAGAAAAUAAGGAAUGAUUUAUUCCACAAAAAGGCAAUGGAAACUGAGGUUGUAAAUACCAAUAUCAAACAUCAUGCCAUUUUUUCAUUGGAAUGGUAUGAUAUCGGUGCAGUAUUGGUGCAGCACCGGUACCGACAAUACAUACCAAAACUGACAGCAUCAAAGGGAAUGAAAAAUCAUUAGUUUUGACUUGUACAGUUAUUAUGGUUCCAUCAGUAUGCAUAGGUAACCAGUAUGAAUGGUUUUCGCAUCCCUCCCAACAAUCAUGCUGCUGCCAUUUCCAUGUCGAAAUGGUAUGGUAUUGAUGGUACCAUAUCGUGUUAGUGGUUUUUGAAUCCAUGAUAGAAACUCUGUGGCUACAGAAGAAGAAACUCGAUAAUUGACACAAAUAUAAACUCAGCCCCCAUGGAGCUUGGACGUUUGGGACUUGUAUUUAUGAGUGAAAGACUUACCCAGGUCACCAGCUUUUUGCCCUCCUCGAUAAAUGAUUCAUCUGUUGGUCUUUUACCAGUUAGAAGUUCAAGCAAGACAACACCAAAGCUGUAAACAUCUCCUUUUGUUGCUGCUCUUCCCGUGUCAAAAUAUUCUGUCAGACACAAUUCAAAGAAUGAACUCAAUUCAUCAUAACCCAUGAAGAGAAGUAGAAGAGUAUAUAGAAGCUAUAGUGUCUCUGGCCCAGCAUAAUACCAGGAGCUAAAUAUCCAAAAGUUCCUGCAACAAUUGUUGUCACCUGACUCUGAUCUGGUUCCAUUAAUGUGGCCAAUCCAAAAUCAGACACCCUUGCCUCCAUGUUUUGAUCAAGCAGAAUGUUGCUUGGCUUGAUAUCCCUGUGGAUUAUGUGUGGAAUACAAUCAUGAUGUAGAUACGAUAAGCCCCGUGCUGCACCAACUGCUAUUUUGCACCUCAAAGACCAGCUCAGGGGCUUCUCUUUACUUGAUUUGCCUGCAGCAAUAUCUUUGUGAGAAGCGUACUGAAAAUAAGACGUAGUCUUGAGAAACAGUGUUGACUAUAUUACCAUGAAGCAGUGCAUCCAAACCUCCAUUUGGCAUCAGUUCAUAUAUUAGAAGAUUAAACUGAGCGCCAAUAUAAUAUCCAUGAAGAGUGACAAUGUUCCUGUGCUUUAUGUCACUCAUUGCAUCGAGCUCUCUUUCAAAUCCACGAUCUCUAUCUGUAUUUCCUUUGUUCAAUCUCUUCACAGCAAAAGCAGUGGUUUCAUCUAUUCUCAAUCUGUAUACUGUACCAUAGCCACCAGAACCAAUGAUGUCCUUGUUUGAUAACUUCAUGGUCUUCUUCAUAAAAGCUUUCGAAGUAAGGGACCGUGAUGUCGGGGACCGGAACAUAACCACCUUUCCAUCUGUUACCAGACAUCAGUUUUCUGCUUCAUAUGCAAAUUCCUGUGACUAAAAUUAUAGCUGUUUUGACAUAGUAGAAGGUAACCUGUGAAAGUAUCUUCGAUGAUCCUACGCUUCCGUGCCCAUCUUUUGUAGAGGAGGAAUGAAACUAUAAUCUUGGACAUGAUAAAUGCAACGCAGCAAAUAGUAAUAUAGAGUCCUAAAGCAACAGAAUUGGCCAUAUUUUUCAGUCCAACUGUAUGAUGCUUCUGAUUGAUAUCUUCUACCCUUCAAUCUGGAAAAUAUAUACAUCAAGACAGAAAAACUACUGUUAUGAUUUUAUCGGUUUACAUGGACAUAAUUUCUCCAUUCUUAUUGGAGCAUGAUGGUCCUCAGAACAUUAACCCAUGCAACUUCCUAAUACCCUUUGAGAAAUUGAAACAAAAGUAAAGGUAUUAGGAAUCAUUGCUAAUUGUUAUCAGAUCCAUAUAUUGAAAUGCUUAAGCCAGACAUUUUGAAAAAGCCAUAAAAGAUGGCUAUUCAGAAGCAAAACUAAUAGAUUUUCACACACUUGCCUUACCAAUAUGUGAUGAGCAUUACUCUUCCUUCUAAACUAUGCAAACAAAAGAUUACUUUUUUCGAACCUUUAUAGUGAUAGAUUGACAAUGAUGGAGCUUUUUGCUGUGCUUUUGCAGUCAUGACCUGAGAAUAGAAGUGAUGUUGAGGAAUGAAAAAGAGCUUAAAAAAGACUAAUUAUCUUCAUGAUUUCUUUUUUUUUUGGGAAAGGAUGGCCUUACCACAGCAGAGGCUGCAAGAGUUUUCGAAUCCUUCGUGAAGAAACGCAAUGCCAAUGGAAGAUGAAAGGCUUUCAGCUCGGUAAAAGCUGAAGGAAAGAAGAGCCCCUGCUGCAUGGACUGGGUGCCAACAGAAGUUGGACACCUCAGCUGGAUAUGCAUCUGAAGGGCAUGGGUGAUGGCAUUUGGGAAGGACAUGUGUCCAUUUUGAUGAUUAUUAGGUUCAAAAGCAACAAAACCAACCGAAAAAAACUGGUUGAAUCACGUGAAAAC
rnacentral:lncRNA from 1 species